rnacentral:rRNA from 1 species
AGUGAACGCUGGCGGUAGGCCUAACACAUGCAAGUCGAACGGCCACACAGUAAGCGCUUGCUCUUACCGUUGGCGACUGACGGACGAGUAACACAUACAUCAGAUUCUACUUUUUCGUGGGGGAUUACGUAGGGCAACUUCUGCUAAUACCGCAUACGACCUACGGGUUGAAUCAGGGGAUCUUCGCACCUUUCCUGACUGUAUUAGCCGAAUUCGCGUCGGAUUAGCUAGUUGGUAAGGUAACGGCUCACCAAGGCGACGAUGCGUAGCCGAUCUGAGAGGGUGAUCAGCCACACUGGAACUGAGACACGGUCCAGACUCCUACGGGAGGCAGCAGUGGGGAAUAUUGGGCAAUGGGCGAAAGCCUGAUGCAGCAAUACCGCGUGGGUGAUGAAGGCCUUCGGAUUGUAAAGCCCUGUUGUUGGGAAAGAAAAGCAGCGGAAGAAAACCCGGCUGUUCUGACGGUACCCAAAGAGUAAGCACCGGCUAACUUCGUG